ensembl:lncRNA novel transcript
GCACAAGUGGCCCUGCCCAGAGGCCGCGGGCUCCCGGCAGGGCUCCCCAAGAGCUGGCCUCCCACCUGCCCCUUUGCCGGGGUCCUGGGGCUCUGCCGACCCCGCCCCGCGGAAGGGCAGCACCAAGGACAGUGGCCACCUGCGGACACCCGCCACCUGCGGACACCCAAGUGGCCGUACAAGGUGGCCACGGAGGAGAAACCGGAGGCUGAGGAGGCCGAGAAGAAGCGCCAGGCCAAGGUGCAGGAGAAGCGCCUGCCGCCGUGGAAGAAGAGGACGUGAGAAUCCGCGGAAUAUGCUUAUAGGUGUGGAAUUGCAGAGGCUGUUGGUCUUCCAAGUAUUCCUGUUCAUCCAAUUGGAUACUAUGAUGCAGAGAAGCUCCUAGAGUAUGAGUCCCUGCUGCUGCAAGUGUCUGAGCCUGUGAAUCCAGAGCUCAGUGCAGGGCCCAUCACUGGACUGCUGGACAGGCUCAGUGGAUUCAGAGUUGAUUUUACUCUGCAGCCUGAAAGAGUCAAUAGUCAUAUCUUCCUGUAUGGAGAUUUGAGAAGCAUGAAUGUUGGAUGUGACCCUCAAGAUGAUCCCGAUAUCACUGCAAAAUCUGAAUGUUUUCUUGUAUUGGGGGGCUCAGGCUUUCACAUCUGGCAAAUAUUAUUGGGAGGUGCACGUGGGGGAUUCUUGGAAUUGGGCUUUUGGUGUCUGUAACAAUUAUUGGAAAGAGAAGAGACAGAAUGACAAGAUAGAUGGAGAGGAAGGACUCUUUCUUCUUGGAUGUGUUAAGGAGGACACUCACUGCAGUCUCUUUACCACCACCCCACUUGUGGUGCAAUAUGUUCCAAGACCUACCAGCACAGUGGGAUUAUUCCUGGAUUGUGAAGGCUGAAGAGCAGUGGCUCAAUCUCAGCUGACUGCAACUUCAGGGUUCAAGCCAUUCUCCUGCCCCGUCUUCUAAGUUUCUGGGAUUACAGGAAAAUGGUCUCAGACAUCACACAAGCCUUCCAGAAAGAACCCAUCUGCCUCUUCUGUCUGAACUAACUCGUAGACCCCAUCACCACAGGCUGUGGCCCCAGCUUCUGUAGGCCCUGUCUCUGCCUUUCCCGGGAAGAAGCCAAAAUUCCUACCGGCUGCCCACAUGCGGGGAACUGUCACAGCAGGAGGACGUCAAAACUAAUAUUUUUCUGAAGAAUCCAGUGUGCAUUGUCAUAAAAGCCAGUCUCUGGCAAUUCCUGAGCUCUAAUGAACAAAUGUGUGGGAUCCACAGGGAGAAAAAAUGAUAUUUGGAGCGGUGGAUAAGAGCCUGCUUCAUUUGCUGUUCUGGAACACUCAGGAGCACGGGGCUCACACACACUGUGAGGGGCAACUAAGGAACACUGGGCAAGUGAUAGCUCUGAGAGCACUUUGUAAGCUGGAGGAUGGCACAGGUAAAGAGAUUAGGGGGAAGAUGAAGAGCAUGAGAUUAUUCUGUUCUGUACUGGAUGUCAUGUAGUGCCUAGGUAUCAAUGAUAGAAAUUUAAAUGGAAUCUGUGAGAAUACCUUCCUUCCUGGAACUUACCUUUCACUGAGGGAGUGAUGAAGUUAAUAAUCAUUAUAAUAAUUUGACUAUUUAGUUUAGUGUUCAGGGCACUGUAAAGAGCUCAAUAUCAGAAAGAGUUUUUGGCUAUCUAAACUACAAGUUCAAAAGCCUUCUAUAUAGGAAACCUAUUUACCAACACUGGAAAUAAUAGAAUAAAAUAUGCUAGAAUUAGCAAGGCACGGUGUCAGUAGAUUCCAAUUCUGAUGCAAGAUGCCACAUUAUCUGUAAAUUAGCCCUGCUUAUGAUUUUCCUAUUAAACUGGUUGUGUUGCAUGUUGCAGUUCUACAGUCUGAGAUCUUCCCAAAUCUCUUUCAUAUCUCAUCCCUUGAUUUCCUUAUCAAUGGGGGUCUGACAACCAAAAGCCAUUUGUUUCUCUGAUGUUCAAAUUCAUAGUUCUUUUAUAGGAGAUGAUAAUGAAGCAAAUGAGAUCUUUUUGGGAAAAAAUUCAAGAAAACCAAAGAAAGUUAAAUAAGGAGAGCAGGAAAACCAACCAGUGGAUUGUAAGUAUUAGGCCUUUUCCCUCAGAUUCAGCCUCAGACAGACAUGCUGCAAAUUUAUCCACUUACCACUUGAGCGGAAAUCAUCUUGGUUAGGAUUUGAGGAAGAUUUUUUCUCAUGGCUUCCAAUCCUGAGGGUACAAUGCAGCAUUGAUUACUGCUCAGAGAGAGUGGUCAGAGUAUGGAGUAGGGAGGUUUGGUACUAAAGACUAAUUUAAAAACUUAAUACUGCAAAAAAUUAUCUGUGAACCACCAUAAAUUCCAAUGACUCUCAUGUAGGUUGUCUGAUAUCAAAGGGUGUAUAUUGAAGAAAUGAUGAAUAAUA